CCGAGGAAGUUGGGUUGUAAGUCGUGGGAUCACGAGUUACCCGAGUUCGACCCGACCCAACAUGUUGUCUUCUUCGCCCGAAUUCACAAGUUUUUUAGAUCUCC